rnacentral:rRNA from 1 species
UACGUAGGGGCUAGCGUUGUCCGGAAUCAUUGGGCGUAAAGAGCGCGUAGGCGGCCAGAUAAGUCCGGUGUGAAAGUCACAGGCUCAACCUGUGAAUGCCGCUGGAAACUGUCUGGCUAGAGUCCGGAAGGGGCGAGUGGAAUUCCUGGUGUAGCGGUGAAAUGCGCAGAUAUCAGGAGGAACACCAAUGGCGAAGGCAGGUCUCUGGGCCGAUACUGACGCUGAGGAGCGAAAGCGUGGGGAGCGAACAGG